rnacentral:rRNA from 4 species
AAACUAACAAGGAUUCCCCUAGUAGCGGCGAGCGAAGCGGGAAGAGCUCAAAUUUAUAAUCUGGCACCUUCGGUGUCCGAGUUGUAAUCUCUAGAAGUGUUUUCCGCGUUGGACCGCACACAAGUCUGUUGGAAUACAGCGGCAUAGUGGUGAGACCCCCGUAUAUGGUGCGGACGCCCAACGCUUUGUGAUACACUUUCGAAGAGUCGAGUUGUUUGGGAAUGCAGCUCAAAUUGGGUGGUAAAUUCCAUCUAAAGCUAAAUAUUGGCGAGAGACCGAUAGCGAACAAGUACCGUGAGGGAAAGAUGAAAAGCACUUUGGAAAGAGAGUUAACAGUACGUGAAAUUGUUGGAAGGGAAACGCUUGAAGUCAGACUUGCUUGCCGAGCAAUCGGUUUGCAGGCCAGCAUCAGUUUUCUGGGGUGGAUAAUGGUAGAGAGAAGGUAGCAGUUUCGGCUGUGUUAUAGCUCUUUGCUGGAUACACCUUGGGGGACUGAGGAACGCAGUGUGCCUUACGGCGGAUUUCUCGAGAUCUUCACACUUAGGAUGCUGGUGGAAUGGCUUUAAACGAC